rnacentral:sRNA from 1 species
AGGUACCACGCGUCCACUGCGGUUCUGAGCGCGCUGUCCGCGCCCACCUGACAGCUGCUCGCGACGUUGUGUUNUGUGUUAGCC